UGUGUGUGUGUAUAUGUAUAUGUAUCUGUAUAUGUAUGUGUGUGCGCGCGCGUGUGUGGACCCCGCGCCGGGGCUCGCGCCGGCGGCCGCAGGGGGCUCUGGGAGGCGUAGUCCGCCGCGAGGGGCCGGCGGCCGCCAUGGUGGCGGGGGGACGGGACGGGACGGGACGGGACGGGACGAGGGUGCCCCGCGGGGCGGCCGGUCGUGGCCUUGGCGGGGCCGGGUGGGGUGUGCAACUCCCCGGGCCGCACUUGUUGGGGAGGCCGGGGCCCGCCGACCGCCGCCAGGCCUGGCCGUGCGGAGGGCGGGCGAGGGUGUGUGGCCCAGAGACGGCUGUGGGCAGCGUGUGACAGACAGGGCCAAAAAUACCCGCCCGCUCACCCGUGGCUGCCGGCGGGGCCGCCGCGUUGAUCCCGAUGAUAUUUUAUGCGCUCCGCCCCCAGGGGAGCCUCAUCCUACUUAUAUUGCCGACCGCAAGCGUCCAACAGUCAUGAGUCAGCCGUGCCGAACAUCACAGGGGCAGAUAAGCGCUCCCGAGGAUGAAAACAAAAACAAAACCCCAUCAAGGGUUCACAACGCGAGAGGGUUGUUUGUUCUGCGCCUGGUCUCAGUGGGUGUAAGGUGCCUGUUUUCGAGCCCGCUCCCACCCCCAGGCUCGGCGCCAUGGCUCCUUUUGCCAACUGGAAGGCUGCGAUUCCUGCAAAUUACCCUGGUGCCGGCAGCCAGCGCUUCUGAGCGAGACCCCAAAUGUCAUGAGACGCGAAAUGCAAUUGGGGUAACCGGUAAAUGAAUGAAAAUGCAUUCUACAGGCCCAAGUUAUUCAGCCAGGCUGGAACAGAAGAACGUUUAAGAUGAAAGACGGCUGAUGAAAGUUGGAAAAUAAAUGAUUCACAAUAGGGGCUGUGAGUUAGAUUAUCUCUGGAGACAUCUCUAAUUAAAGGGCAUUGGAUAACUAGAGGGUUACAUUUUCCUGGGUCAGUGGUCUUGAAAAAGAAAUUGCAGUUGCAGUAAAUGUCAAUAAAGAAUGAUGGUGACCUACUGCUAACAAAAGCACGUUCAGUAAUUAACAUGUGCAUGUUUGUUAUUUUUUCUGUUUAUGUCAGUUUUUAUUGUACAUUUUCAUCCUCUGUUUCCCCUGUCACUACAGACAGCUGAUAUAUAGUGUUUUCCGUAUCUUCGAGAGAGGAGCAAUUUCUGUGAAGAUAUUUCAGUGCCGUGUUCUGAAAUUGCAGCAGCUCCAUUGGGCUACCUGCGUUUUCAAAGCCUACUAGACUACAGAAAACUAUGUAAUAUCGUGUGCCAACAAAAAAUUAACUCUUUGUAUUGAGCGACAAAUAUAUUGUCACUUUGCAAAAGCAUAGUUCUCCUCUGGCUUGCAUUUUGCAUGGUUAUUCACUUGUGUAAAGUGAAAAGAUUUUUAGUUCAGUAGCAUUUUACUCUUUUCCUAGCUACAUGUGGCUGCAGAAUGGGACCCCACUGAAAAAUUUUACUCAUAAGCUUCACUUUCCCUUUCAAAGCAAGAUUCAUAUAAAGCCUUGCUCACAAGUACCUGUUAGGCUCUGGUUCUACAGGCAUGUAGUGUUAAGCAAGUGAAAAGUCCCACACCAUGUAAGGAGUCUUGUCAUGUGUUUAAACACCAGCAGGACUGUGUCUCCUUGUUGCCUUGUUUUCCCUAGAGACACAAAAAAUAAUUUUGUAUUGGCAUGAGAGAUAAAAAUACUAUAUUGAGAAGGACAGAGAGAUAAAAAUAAGCCAUGCAGCAUUUGUAAUGCUUCAGUGAGCACGCUAUUUGCCCAUUGUGCCGCUGCAUUCCAAGUGCAUAUAUUCUGAUCUUUACAACACGUUACAGGAGAUGCGGCUCCAGGUGGUCAGAGCCAGCCAAACAGAAACCAAAGCGCUCUGUGUGUACCUCUGCCCACAGCGCACAUUUCCGAAAGGCAUAAGUGUCAUUUAUCUUACUUGGCCGACAUUUUAAAAUGAAUGACAACUAUUUGGCUUAAAGGAAGUGUAAAGUGAAAAUCUCCAUUUUAGAUUUAUUUUUUCUGUUUAACCUGUAAUAAGAAUUGCAGUGACUUCAGUGUGAACCAGAUCAUACUUGUGCAGGAUGGAGAUGGGCAGAGAGUGAAAGAAGCUGGAGCCAAGCAGGGAUGGGGCACAUAGGCUUUUUGAAACCUCACCAAGCACCUCUAUGCAGCCUUUGGUACCCAAAUACUAUUAAUAAUUUUGUGACCAACUCAAAACAGAAGACAGAGAUCAGAUUCCUGUAUAUCAUUCAGAUAAUGAUUUUAUUAUGGUCCAUUAUAUCUUUAUAUAACACUAGAAAGCUGGGGAAAAACUAAACAGAGUUGAUUUUCAAAGACAGAAAGAAUAUUACACUAACCAAAUGAAAUCCACUGUUUAAAAAUGCAGUGUUUAUAUCCUAUAUCUUACGUUUAAAUGUAUUAGCUUCCCAGUUAGUUUCCAAACUGGUUAUAUUCCAGCAGCAAAUCCAGUCUGAUCCUGUUUCCAUUGCAAUCAACUAUCUUCACACCUAAGUUUCUGCAUAUGUAACUAUUUCUGGACCGUUUUUCCUGAAGUACAGCCAAACAUAUAUUCCAGACAAAUAUGAAUUAUCCUAAGAGGUGUCAUGUGUGUUCUCUCCAAAUGAUCCACAAUUUGUCAAGCAAUGACAAGAAAAUGAGGUAAGAAUAAAUGUGAAGAGGCACAAUUUAGAAGUUAUCCCAUGAAUACUUGAGGGAUAACUUGCUGUGAAUGCUGCAGCGGUAUCCUCAAGAAAAGGCUGCAUCCACACAUUCAACAACUGGUUUUAGCUCAGCUCUAUGUCCAAAUUUCCUGGUUACACAUUCCCUUUAUGAAUGUCUUAAUUAAGUGGUUUCCCCACGCUGCUAUGACUUCAUCCCUGGUUGAGCUUACAGCACUUGACCUAGUUUUCAGUGUUUUCUUUAUGGAUAACACAAAACUUUCCAGAAUACUUGAAUUACGAAUAUCUAUUUAAAUCAUAUUUCAUAUGUAAAUUUAAAAUGGAAUCCAAUAUUGUAAAACAUGUCCCAACAUCCCUUCCUGAGAUCUCAUUUGCAUAUCAAUCUCGAAACUUGAAUAGUCUUAAUAGUGCCACUUGUUGGAGAGCUCUGUGUAUUGCAAGGUAUUUCAGUCACAUAUUUAUGAAAACAAAUUGCUUUUUCCUGGUGAUAGGUAAUUCCUAGUUUGAAGUGCUUUGGGAAGAGAGGAAAGUACUGCACAGAACAACUUCUGUUGCAGUCGCAGCUUCAACCACGCUGACUCAAAAACUCUGUGAAUGAGCAACAUGUUAGUGGAUCUUAUGCAACUUGAUCUUUACGAUGGUAAUGUAGGAGUGAAAAAGGAAAAAUAAGGACAAAUCUUGUGGGUUUUAAUUGAGGAAGUUGUCGUUUCCUUCUGAAGUACAUUUUGCCCUGCAGCAUUCAGGUGAAGAAGAUCAGCUUUCCUGGAUGAGUCCCGAUCCUGCACACAGAUCUAAGUCAUUAUUGAUAAUUACACACUUAUUCUCCUGGGCUGUGCAGGUAGAAUUCAUUAAAUUGCAUCAUUUUCUUUCCAGUGAUUAAGAAAUUCACAGUUGAUUACUGAUUAUGCUACAGGCACCGCAUGUCUUUUCACAGCCGGAUUCUAACACGCCCCAGGUACGUUGCGUUUCCAGGAGCACCGACAGUACGAACAGCACGCCCUGAGUCAGUGCCUGUGACGGCUAUGAAGGAGGCUUUGUCAUGGGGCGUAAAUAUCAAAGAUCCACGAUGUAACGUCUCUGCAGCGUGGCUUGACAUCACAUCAAAAGCUCCACAAAGGAACAUUUGCCGUGCACGGAGCAUCAGAUCUCCGGCAUGAUAUUUUGAGGAGCUAGCGAGAUAUAAUAUUUGAAAUAUAUUGAAGUAUUAACAAAGUGUUGUUGCUGAGACUAAAAUUAUAGUGGCAGGAAGGAAGACAGGAAAAAAUGGCAGGCACUGAUCUUUAAAAAAUAGAUGCAGAUAGCAUGAUUGAAAGGGAAUUUAAGGAGCUGUUGACUUCAUAUGUCAAGAAAUGGAGGGUCAGGAGUCCUUAAGGUUUACGUAUUAUGUCCAAAACAUGUUCUGCGAUCACUAAGUCAAAAGGAUUAGUUUUCUGCCAGCUUAACCUCCUGCACCAGCUGACCAGCAGAUGAGACGAGACCAGGACUGGCACAAAGGAAGGAAUGGGAAUGGGAGGCUGGGAACAGAGCAGAGGCCCCCCUGGACUUGUGUGGACCCACAGCCUCAAGAGUCUGGCAAGGAGGCACCUCUGCCCCAGCCUGGCACCCCACAAGAAGGUGCUCUGCCUUGCUUGAUGCUCCCCAGCAUGGAAGCUCACCAGCAGCACCUCUGCAUUUUAGCAAGGGGCAGCACUCUUUCCCAGGAUCUCUUCAGCUGUCGCUCCAGCUAUGGAAAACAACAGAACAAAACCUGAAUCAGAGCCCUUGUUUAGCAAUGAUCUCCGCACAGGGGUUACAGCCUGCCAGAUACAGAAGUCAGAAACUGCCUGCCGUGUGUCAGUCUAUCAUGGUAUUUUAUUUGCUUAAGUGUCACUACCUGCAUCCCAGGAGAGGUGAGAGGGACGCCUUCCGCGAGCAAUACUGACUUUCCCUGGAACCACCACACAAAGAGAAUGCCAUUUCAUGUCAAUAAACUGUUAUUUCACCUACACGCAUGUUAUGUUGUAUUCCUCAGACUACAUUUUACACGCCUGGGGUGUAUACGUGUGAUCUACUGAAAUCGCUCGCCAUCUUCCAUAAUUUAUGCUGCCCUUCAGUCUUAGCAGCGUGCAUAAACUUCAGCGACAUGUUGUCACUCCUCUCUAAAUCAUUGUGAAAAAUCAUCCAAGGAACAGCACCAGACCCGAGGCAUUCUGCAUUUUGCCUGCUCCUUUUUCCAGACCAGGCUCCGAGGUGGCAGGGUGACACAGCAGAAGAAAAAUCACAGCUAGCAAGGUGUGAAAUAAUGUCCCCGAUAGUAAGAAAUUAGAAUGUAUGAUGUGUUCGUACAAACCUGAGCAUGACUGUUCAACCUAGCAGCGUUGUCCUGCAAGUGCCGGUGUCAAGGAGAACCUAGAUUUCCUGAAGGCAGAUGUUCCCACUUCUCUUCAGGCAGACUUUCAUGAAACUUCAGUGUGAACAAAUAGAUGUAAUGGAAAUGGGAAGACGUGAGGGUUAACCUUUAAGUCAUCAGGGGUUUAGCAUUUACCAUUGUCACACAGGACUGUACUGAGAUUAUUUGUUUCCUGUCGCUUAAUCCAUUUAUAACACAGCGUACUAAUCCACAAUUUGUCAUUUGACCCGUCACUCUGCUAUGAGGAGCUUUGUCAAAAGCAUUUUGAAAAGCCACUGACACUUCCCACUUCCUUAAUUCGCUGUGACUUCUUGCAAGUUUGAGGGAAGAGAGCUGCAGCCCAGCUGGCGUGACCCUGCACCCCCAAAUUAACCUCAUCCAUGGUUGCACACAGUGGGAAUCCUCAGCCCUGGGGUCGGCAUUACUGACGUUCAUUUCUGACUCAUCUUUUGGAACAGGGAAAUUCUCUAGUCUCAGGAAACACCCUUGUUUUUCAAAGCCACAUUGUAGGCUCUUGCCAGUUGCUUUGUUCAGCUUCUUCUGAACACUCCUGAAUUCUUUUAACUUCAUCAACUUGAGUUUUCUUAACUUGCUCCAGUACUUCUUCUUCAGAAAUGUUUAUCUUCACAAUAUCACACUCAUCAUUUCCAUAAAUUUCCAAAUCCCCCACUACAGUGAAGACAAGUGCAAAUAAUAAAUUCAGCUUCUUGAAAAUGUCUUAAUCCUUGUUAAUUGCGUCCUUAAUUCCCUAGUGACCUGGAGGGCCUACAGAGGCACACAUGCAGCUUUAUUUAUGUUUAGUCUAUUUGUAUAAUUAUGUAUUGUUUAUCUUAAUAUCUUUGGCUAUUUGCUCUCUCUCCUCCGAGUUACUAUCUAUUUACCGUUUUCUUGUGAUGAGCUGGUUUGGGCAGAAUUUCUAACAUGUCUGUGUGAAAGCUCCCCCGGUGUUGUCCUGGAGGCAAAGUCUCUGAAGUUCACAGCACCACACUCUUCUUCCAGCACAGCAACUCCUGCCUUGAAACAGCCUUUAAGGCUCUGGAAUUUCUUAUAAAGGUUUCACUUGCCUCAGUUCGGUGUGAUUAUAUGCAGUGCAAUGUGGUAAUUCAGUGAAGCAUUUGAUUUUUUUAUAUAUUAUUAUAAUUAACAAUGAUAUUAGCCAGGAGAACAAAUUUAACUUAGGGUUGCCAGAUAACUUUCCUCCUGUCAGCUGCUCAUAAACUGCCCCACUUCAGCCAUCGCAGAUGGCUUCUUCUAUGCUGCAUGUCAAUCUCAUCUAUUAAAAAUGUGAGUUUUUUAAGAAGAGGAGUGGGGAUUUUUGGAAGGGAGAUGGUCUGGUCUUGGAGGUGAGGAAAGAGGUUAGACUGGGGCUGAAUGAGAUGCUGGUGGGAAAUACUGAGACUGCCUGACCCGAGGACCACAGCUGAAAUAAAGCACCUGUACCUGGCAGCCUCUCUCAGCUGCCCGUGUGGGUGAGUGACAGCGUGCCCUCUUGGAGCUGUGAUUUGUACAAAUGAGGAUCAGGAUGAGACCACAAACUUAAUUUAUGUGUCUGAUGUGAACUAGAAUUGAGCCAAACCGAUAAAGAUGCAAGGCUAGUUCAUUCCCUUACCCAGCCUCUGAUUCCAAGCAAUUUUAAUUGUAACUCGUCACUGAUGAGGUCAUGAGAGAAAAAUCCUUUUGACUAAGGUAUCUUUGCCUUCUUUCUAUGACUUUGGUACAAAAUGGAUUAAUUAAAAAGGAGAGAAAAAUAAUCUCCUGUUUUCUUUCAUCAUGAGAACCAUAUGUGCUGUAUAGAGAGAGAAUAUAAGUCAGUGCUGUAAGCAGUGCAUUAUU